rnacentral:rRNA from 1 species
AACGAACGCUGGCGGCAUGCCUAACACAUGCCAGUCGAACGAAGGCUUCGGCCUUAGUGGCGCACGGGUGCGUAACGCGUGGGAAUCUGCCCUUUGGUUCGGAAUAACAGCUGGAAACGGCUGCUAAUACCGGAUGAUGACGAAAGUCCAAAGAUUUAUCGCCAGAGGAUGAGCCCGCGUUGGAUUAGGUAGUUGGUGGGGUAAAGGCCUACCAAGCCGACGAUCCAUAGCUGGUCUGAGAGGAUGAUCAGCCACACUGGGACUGAGACACGGCCCAGACUCCUACGGGAGGCAGCAGUGGGGAAUAUUGGACAAUGGGCGCAAGCCUGAUCCAGCAAUGCCGCGUGAGUGAUGAAGGCCCUAGGGUUGUAAAGUUCUUUUACCCGGGAAGAUAAUGACUGUACCGGGAGAAUAAGCCCCGGCUAACUCCGUG